rnacentral:rRNA from 1 species
UACAGAGGGUGCAAGCGUUAAUCGGAUUUACUGGGCGUAAAGCGAGUGUAGGUGGUUUGCUAAGUCAGGUGUGAAAUCCCAGGGCUCAACCCUGGAACUGCAUUUGAUACUGGCAAGCUAGAGUGUGGUAGAGGAUAGUGGAAUUCCCGGUGUAGCGGUGAAAUGCGUAGAUAUCGGGAGGAACAUCAGUGGCGAAGGCGGCUAUCUGGACUAACACUGACACUGAGACUCGAAAGCGUGGGGAGCAAACAGG